GUAAGGCUGGGGGAGAGAAAGCAGAAAAAAAAAGACAAAGCAUGAAGUUGUCCACCCAUAACCUCAGGACUCCAGAGGUGGACGCAGGAGGACUACAAGUUUAAGGCCAGCCUUCGAUAGGCAGUGAGACCCCAUCUAAGGGGAGGAGGAGGAAGAGGAGACAGGGAGGAGGGGGAAGAGGAGGAGGAGAAGAAGUUGUGGGAGAAAGAGAACAGAAGAGGAAAGAAAAUACGCACUUGGAAGCUGUUGCCAACAAUAAGCUUGCCCAGUUGGAAGGAGCCCGUUGGCAGAGUUGGCACCGAUCGGCUUUAAUCCUUUCUCAGGCACUGAGGCAAUGCAUGCAAGAGUGUACCUGUCGGGAGUUGCCAGAUGUCUGACAUCAGCUCUGUGGAAGUUGCACAGUGGGAAAGUCCUGGCCUUGGAGUCUCAUGGUUCCCCUAACCAUCAUUCGAAAACACAGGCCCGUUCCCUGUUCUUCUGGAAACUUGAGCUCCUUAGCUUCAAAGCAAUGACCUUGAGAGUGUCCUAGGGCAGAAAAAUAUAACAAGACCCAAAAUGCAUUUCUUUAGCCUAUGUAAGGAAGCUGUUUCCUAACAUUGGGGCACUAAAAAGCCCAAAUAAAGGUAUUAUUUACCUUCAUAAAUUUUACUUAAUUACGAUGAUGAUACUAGAGUAGGCUUUUAUUCUCUCUUGUUAGUGGAGAGGACGCCACUGUGUCUCCUUUGUACUUUGGUAAUGCUGAGGCUUCCAUGUUUGCUUUCCGUGUGCUUCUCAGAAUGUGUGCAUAAUCGAAUUGGAUAAGAAGGCAUGUCAUGUGGUUUUUACAA
ensembl:lncRNA